rnacentral:rRNA from 1 species
UACGUAGGGUGCAAGCGUUAAUCGGAAUUACUGGGCGUAAAGCGUGCGCAGGCGGUUCGUUGUGUCGGUGGUGAAAUCCCCGGGCUUAACCUGGGAAUGGCCAUGGAAACUGGCGAACUGGAGUGCGGCAGAGGGGGGUGGAAUUCCGCGGUGUAGCAGUGAAAUGCGUAGAUAUCGGGAGGAACACCAGUGGCGAAGGCGGUUGCCUGGGGCUUUGCUGACGCUGAUGCGCGAAAGCGUGGGGAGCGAUCCGG